rnacentral:rRNA from 1 species
UGGUUAUUCUACGGCUAAUAUGUGCGCAAUGGCCUCCUUCUCUGGAGGGGCUGUGUUUAUUAGGUACAAAACCAACCCACUUUGGUGGACUCUUGGUGAUUCAUAGUAACCGAACAGAUCGCAAUUGGCUUGUUGUGGGCACGUUCGAUUCCGGAGAGGGAAGCUGAGAAACGGCUACCACAUCUAAGGAAGGCAGCAGGCGCGCAAAUUACCCAAUGAAAACAGUUUCGAGGUAGUGACGAGGAAUAACAGUACAGGGCAUUUUUUGCUCUGUAAUUGGAGUAAUGCGAAUGRAAGACCCUUUCAGAGUAACAAUUGGAGGGCACGUCUGGUGCCCGCAGCCGCUGUAGUUCCAGCUCCAAUAGUGCACAUUAGAGUUGUUGCAGUUAAAAAGCUCGUAGUUGGAUUUCUGUCGUGGUCAUCCGGUCGCCCGUAUGGGUGUGUGCCUGGUAUGACCGCGGCUUUCCUCUGGUAGCCAGCCAUCCGCGCUUAAUUGCGUGUGUUGGUGUUGAACUAGGACUUUUACUUUGAGAAAAAUAGACUGUUUCAAGCAGGCUGGUCGUCCUGAAUACUUCAGCAUGGAAUAUGAGGAUAGAACCUCGGUUUUAUUUUGUUGGUUUUUGGGACCAAGGUAUUGAUUAAUAGGGACAGUUGGGGGCAUUUGUAUUUAACUGUCAGAGGUGAAUUUCUUAGAUUUGUUAAAGACGAACUACUGCGACACCAUUUGCCAAGGAAGUUUUCAUUAAUCAAGAACGGUAGCAGGGGGUUCGAGGACGAUUAGGCACCGUCGUAAUCUCUACCAUAAACUAUGCGGACUACAGAUAGGGAAAUGCCUAUCUUGGCUUCUCCUGCACCUCAUGAGAAGUCGAAGUCUUUGGGUUCUGGGGGGAGUAUGGUCGCAAGGCUGAAACUUAAAGGAGUUGACGAAAGGGCACCACCAGGCCUGGAGCCUGCGGCUUAAUUUGACUCCACACGCGGGAACUCACCAGGUCCAGACAUGGGAAGGAUCGACAGAUUGAUAGCUCUUUCUUGAUUCUAUGGGUGGUGGUGCAUGGCAGUUUUUAGUUGGUGGAGUGACCUGUCUGGUGAAUUUCGAUAACGAACGAGACCUUAGCCUGCUUAAUAGGAUCAAGAACCUCGAUUCUCGUAUCACUUUAUAGAGGGACUUUGCGUGUCCAACGCAAGGAAGUUUGAGGCAAUAACAGGUCUGUGAUGCCCUCAGAUGUUCUGUGCUGCACACGCGCUACAUUGAUGCAUGCAACGAGCUUUUGACCUUGGCCGACAGGUCUAGGUAAUCUUUUGAGUAUGCAUCGUGAUGGGGGUAGAAUAUUGCAACUAUUAAUCU